GACGAACGCUGGCGGCGUGCCUAACACAUGCAAGUCGAACGGAAAGGCCCUGCUUUUGUGCUGUUCUCGAGUGGCGAACGGGUGAGUAUCACGUGUGUAACCUGCCCUUCUUUUUGGGAUAACUUCACGAAACUGGGGCUAAUAUCGGAUAGGAUCUCCUGCUCCAUGGUGGGGGUUGGAAAGUUUCGGCGGUUGGGGAUGGACUCGCGGCUUACCAGCUUGUUGGUUGGGUAGUGGCUUACCAAGCCUUUGACGGGUAGCUGGCCUGUGAGGGUGACCGGCCACAUUAGGACUGAGAUACGGCGCAGAGUCCAACGGGAGGCAGCAGGGGGGAAUAUGACACAAUGAGCGGAAGCGUGAUGCAGAGACGCCGGGUGCGGAAUGACGGCCUUCGGGUUAAGAACAGCUUUAGGCUGAGACGAAGCGUGAGUGACGGUAAUGAAUAAAGAAGCACCGGCUAACUACGUG
rnacentral:rRNA from 1 species